rnacentral:rRNA from 1 species
AUUGAACGCUGGCGGCAGGCUUAACACAUGCAAGUCGAGCGGAGAGAGGUAGCUUGCUACUGAUCUUAGCGGCGGACGGGUGAGUAAUGCUUAGGAAUCUGCCUAUUAGUGGGGGACAACAUUUCGAAAGGAAUGCUAAUACCGCAUACGUCCUACGGGAGAAAGCAGGGGAUCUUCGGGCCUUGCGCUAAUAGAUGAGCCUAAGUCGGAUUAGCUAGUUGGUGGGGUAAAGGCCUACCAAGGCGACGAUCUGUAGCGGGUCUGAGAGGAUGAUCCGCCACACUGGGACUGAGACACGGCCCAGACUCCUACGGGAGGCAGCAGUGGGGAAUAUUGGACAAUGGGCGGAAGCCUGAUCCAGCCAUGCCGCGUGUGUGAAGAAGGCCUUAUGGUUGUAAAGCACUUUAAGCGAGGAGGAGGCUACUUUAGUUAAUACCUAGAGAUAGUGGACGUUACUCGCAGAAUAAGCACCGGCUAACUCUGUGCCAGCAGCCGCCGCAG